rnacentral:rRNA from 1 species
UGAAUGGGGGAACCCAGCAUGAGUUAUGUCAUGUUAUCGACAUGUGAAUUCAUAGCAUGUCAGAAGGCAGACCCGGAGAACUGAAACAUCUUAGUACCCGGAGGAAGAGAAAGAA